UACGGAGGGUGCGAGCGUUGUCCGGAAUCACUGGGCGUAAAGCGCGCGCAGGCGGCCAUUCAAGUCAGGGGUGAAAGCCCAGAGCUCAACUCUGGAACUGCCUUUGAAACUGUAUGGCUUGAGUAUGAGAGAGGUGAGUGGAAUUCCCAGUGUAGAGGUGAAAUUCGUAGAUAUUGGGAAGAAACACCGGUGGCGAAGGCGGCUCACUGGCUCAUUACUGACGCUCGAGGCGCGACAGCCGUGGGGAUCAAACAGG
rnacentral:rRNA from 1 species